GAUGAACGCUGGCGGCGUGCCUAAUACAUGCAAGUCGAGCGAAUGGAUUGAGAGCUUGCUCUUAUGAAGUUAGCGGCGGACGGGUGAGUAACACGUGGGUAACCUGCCCAUAAGACUGGGAUAACUCCGGGAAACCGGGGCUAAGACCGGCUAACAUUUUGAACCGCAUGGCUCGAAAUUGAAAGGCGGCUUCGGCCGUCCCUUAUGGAUGGACCCGCGGCGCAUUAGCUAGGUGGUGAGGUAACGGCUAACCAAGGCAACGAUGCGUAGCCGACCUGAGAGGGUGAUCGGCCACACUGUGACUGAGACACGGCCCAGACUCAUACGGGAGGCAGAAGUAGGGAAUCUUCCGCAAUGGACGAAAGUCUGACGGAGCAACGCCGCGUGAGUGAUGAAGGCUUUCGGGUCGUAAAACUCUGUUGUUAGGGAAGAACAAGUGCUAGUUGAAUAAGCUGGCACCUUGACGGUACCUAACCAGAAAGCCACGGCUAACUACGUGCCAGCCGCCGCGGUAA
rnacentral:rRNA from 1 species